rnacentral:rRNA from 1 species
AGAGUUUGAUCCUGGCUCAGGACGAACGCUGGCGGCGUGCCUAACACAUGCAAGUCGAGCGGGGUCCAACCAGUAGCAAUACUGGGGAAGACCUAGCGGCGAACGGGUGAGUAACACGUGAGAAACCUGCCCCGAAGUCUGGGAUAACCCGAGGAAACUCGAGCUAAUACCGGAUGCCCUCUUCUGGUCGCAUGGCCGGAACAGGAAAGAUUCAUCGCUUCGGGAGGGUCUCGCGGCCUAUCAGCUAGUUGGUGGGGUAACGGCCCACCAAGGCGUCGACGGGUAGCUGGUCUGAGAGGACGAUCAGCCACACUGGGACUGAGACACGGCCCAGACUCCUACGGGAGGCAGCAGUGGGGAAUCUUGCGCAAUGGGCGAAAGCCUGACGCAGCAACGCCGCGUGCGGGAUGAAGGCCUUCGGGUUGUAAACCGCUUUCAGCAGGGACGAAAAUGACGGUACCUGCAGAAGAAGCCCCGGCCAACUACGUGCCAGCAGCCGCGGUAACACGUAGGGGGCAAGCGUUGUCCGGAUUUAUUGGGCGUAAAGAGCUCGUAGGCGGCUCGGUAAGUCGGGUGUGAAACCUCCAGGCUCAACCUGGAUUGA